rnacentral:lncRNA from 1 species
AGGGGGCCUGGCACUCCCAACCUUUCCAUAACUCCCUUAAUACACCUCAUAGAUUAGAUGUUUAAUUAUCUAAAUAGCUAGUUAAUGAUAUUAUCUGUACUAAGAAUUUUAUUCUUAUUUUAUAUUAAUCUCUAAUAGUUUCUUAUACAAAUAGAAUCUAGAUCUUUCUAAUAUUUUCUUCAUAUCUUUUAUUUUUAUUAUUGCUUAUCAAACAUCAGUUUGUCCCCUACCACACACUCUAAUUAGCUAGUUAAUUGAAAAUCAGUGUUUUCCUUGUUUAAUCCUUCUGAAUUGAUCUCCAACAAUGAGAUCUAUAUUAUUUAGCAUUAGUCUUCCUAUUAUCUUUUUUAUCUCCUAUGUUUCUAUCAUUAUUCGUCUAAACUCUAAACGGUCAUUUAGCCCGUUGUACUCAACUUUUAAACACUAACAAUGGUAUGGUGUUUCCGUUUAACCUUCUAUUUAAAUGACCAUUUUACCUGUUUAAGUGAUCGUUUUGUCUAAGACUAAACGAUAUGUAACUGAUUGUUUAUCAUUUGAUGAUGUUAGGUUCUAGUACUAAUUAAUUUUGCCCCCGUUUAACUACUUGUUUUUAUUGUGAUUAUUUUUCUGGGUAAAGAAAUAGAAUGAUCGGGUGAAGAUUAGAGGCCUGAGACUAGUUAAAUUUCUCUUUUAUUUUUUUUAGUUUUUCUGCUUUUUUUGCAUCGCAACACAAAUGUUUAUUUUGGUGCUAUGUACACCUUUGUCAUGUAAUAUUUUGACACACAUGAUUAUUCUUGGUUUGUACGGCCCCCUCUAUGUUCAAAUCCUGGCUCCGCCCCUGGCAACACAAAUGUUUAUUUUGGUGCUAUGUACACCUUUGUCAUGUAAUAUUUUGAUACACAUGAUUAUUCUUGGCUUGUACGGUCCUCCUAUGUUCAAAUCCUGGCUCGCCCCUGUACGUACGUCACCAGUAUUCGAGAAAAAGAGUAUACGUACGUCACCAGAACCAGAAGAGCGUGGCCACCGCUAGCAGGCCGACGGCGGCCGUCAGCGGGACGAGGGACGCGUACGCGAGCUUCCUUCCCGGCAGCGCCGCGGGGGUUCGGCAAUCCCCGUAUUAGAAGAGCCCCGAGAGCGCGAGGAGGAGGUAGCAGCGGCCGAGAGCCCCAGGCUAGGGGCUAGCUGCAUCACCGUCGUCGCGGACGAUCGACCGCAAUCAAGAUCCCCUUCUGCGCAGCGACUUUUUCCAUGCA